CCGGAAUAACUUUCAGGUCUGGAUCGGAAAUAUCAGUAAUCGCAGAUGCAACUGUAGUCUUCAAUACCACCUCAAUCAAUUACUUCAUCAUCCAUGACUUAUUUGUUAGGCAUGCCAACAAAAUCGAACCCCACACUCUCCAAAUUGAUGUGGAGUAUACAACAAGAGACAAAAUAAAAUAAGUUGCAGUACCACCACAACCUGAAACUACAA